rnacentral:rRNA from 1 species
CUGGUGCUCGAGUGGCGAACGGGUGAGUAACACGUGGGUGAUCUGCCUUGCACUCUGGGAUAAGCUUGGGAAACUGGGUCUAAUACCGGAUAUGAACUGCCUUUAGUGUGGUGGUUGGAAAGUUUUUUCGGUGCAAGAUGAGCUCGCGGCCUAUCAGCUUGUUGGUGGGGUAAUGGCCUACCAAGGCGUCGACGGGUAGCCGGCCUGAGAGGGUGUACGGCCACAUUGGGACUGAGAUACGGCCCAG